UAGGGAUCUGCAGCCCGGGCAGCGCGGGGAGACAGAAAGGCAGAGACGGACCCAUGACAAAGUUCUCUCUCACCGGCGGGGACCCACCCCGGCGCCCCCCGUACUGAAGCGGGCAUCACCGCUGGGAGCAGGGCCAGCGGACCCCACGGGACAAUCUAAGGCAGCUGGAUGCCCUCCUCAUUCCCACCCAGAGGCUCCCUUUUCCCUGCCCACUGUUGCCCAUAUCACCUGGAUAUUUCUCUUGAUGAUGUCCCGGGUCAGCUGAACUUUGCCAGUGCUGGGAUCCACCCCAGCCAGCGGUACCAUGACCUCACCGAUGACAUCAUCCCG